rnacentral:rRNA from 1 species
GGCUAUGGCAACACCACCCUGCUGUGCCUGAUCUCGUCUGACCUCGGCAGCUCAACAGGGUCAGGCCUGGUUAGUAACAGGGUGGGUGACUGCCUGGGAAUACUGGGCACUGUAGGCU